rnacentral:rRNA from 1 species
CACGUAUUUAGCCGUCACUUCUUCUGUUGGUACCGUCAUUUUUUUCUUCCCAACUGAAAGCACUUUACAUUCCGAAAAACUUCAUCGUGCACACAGAAUUGCUGGAUCAGACCCUCGGUCCAUUGUCCAAUAUUCCCCACUGCUGCCUCCCGUAGGAGUAAGGGCCGUGUCUCAGUCCCCUUGUGGCCGUUCACCCUCUCAGGCCGGCUACCCAUCAUCGCCUUGGUGAGCUGUUACCUCUCCAACUAGCUAAUGGGACGCAAAGCUCUCUCACAGUGCUUAUAGCUUUCAUAAUUCUAAGAUGCCUUAAAAUCAUAAUAUCAGGUAUUAGCAUUCAUUUCUAAAUUGUUGUCCCUAGCUGUGAGGCUAAGUUCUUACGCGUUACUCACCCGUCCGCCACCAAAUCCUAAAGUUAAAAACCCAAUUCAAGUUGACUUGCAUGUAGUUAAGCUAUUCUGUCAGUCGUUACAUUCCUGACGUCCAGGUACUACG